rnacentral:rRNA from 1 species
AUGAGAACUGAAAUGCAAGCCUCCAUUGAAACGUGGAAUUUCAAACCUUUCUGUGCUCUGGUCCAGUAAGGGUGGUGGUGCAUGGCCGUUCUUAGUUGGUGGAGCGAUUUGUCUGGUUAAUUCCGAUAACGAACGAGACUCUGGCAUGCUAACUAGUUAUGCGACCCCCAAGCAGGCGGCGUCCAACUUCUUAGAGGGACAAGUGGCGUUCAGCCACCAGAGAUUGAGCAAUAACAGGUCUGUGAUGCACUUAGAUGUCCAGGCCUGCACGCGCACUACACUGACUGGCUCAGCGUGUGUCUACCCUACGCCGACAAGCAUGGGUAACCCGUCGAACCCCAUUCGUGAUGGGGAUCGGGGAUUGCAAUUCUUCCCCAUGAAUGAGGAAUUCCCAGUAAGUAUGGGUGAUAAGCUCGCGUUGAUUAAGUC